rfam:Pseudoalteromonas citrea strain KMM216 contig0260, whole genome shotgun sequence.
UUAAAAUUGAAAUAUAGCAUAAAGUGGAUGCCUUGACUCGAAUGUCCGAAGAAGGACGUAUUAAUCUGCGAUAAGCCUAGAGGAGUUGAUAAGAAGCGUUAUAACUCUAGGAUUUCCGAAUGGGGGAACCUAAUACCGGUAAUCGGUAUUGUCUGCUAAGCAGAAGGACACACGGUGAACUGAAAUAUCUAAGUAGCUGUGGAAAAGAAAUCA